ACUCAUAUAGCCUUAGUGGUUAGAGCAUCUGCCUCUGAUGCAGGAGGUCAUGGGUUCAAACCUUGGUAGAGUA